rnacentral:rRNA from 1 species
UAUCUCUGUAGAGUCUGCAUAUCAAUAAGCGGAGGAAAAGAAACUAACUAGGAUUCCCUUAGUAACGGCGAGUGAAGCGGGAAGAGCUCAAAUUUGAAAUCUUCAAGGUUCUACCUUGACGAAUUGUAGUUUAUAGAAGUGUUUUCUGUUGGAGUUUUGGUAAAAGUCCUUUGGAAUAGGACAUCAUAGAGGGUGAGAAUCCCGUAUUUGACCAUUUCUUCCAGCUGUGUGAUACACUUUCAAAGAGUCGGAUUGUUUGGGAAUGCAGUCCAAAAUGGGUGGUAAAUUUCAUCUAAAGCUAAAUAUUGGCGAGAGACCGAUAGCGAACAAGUACCGUGAGGGAAAGAUGAAAAGAACUUUGAAGAGAGAGUUAAACAGUACGUGAAAUUGUCAAAAGGGAAGCGUUUGACACCAGUGUUGUUUUCUCGAAAAUCAAUUAAAAAUGACCGGAUUUUGUGUUGUAUUGACUUUAUCAGCUUUCUGCACUUUUUUCUUGUCUUUUUUAAUGCACUUUUCGUUUAACAAGUCAACAUCAAUUUCUUUUGUUGUAAAAGGGUCAUUGGAAGGUGGCUUUCUUUUCGGAGAAAGUGUUUAUAGCCUCUGACUUCUGCAGUCGGAGAGAUUGAGGUCUGCAGCGUAGAUCCUUCAGGGUUAAUAGCAGUUUGUGCUAAGCUAUAACCUUUCAUAGACAACUUGUUGACUAUGAUCUGUCAUGUAGCUUACUCGCUUAUGCUAUUUUACCUACGCUUAGGAUGUUGAACGCGCACAGAGUCUC